rnacentral:rRNA from 1 species
CCUACGGGAGGCAGCAGUGGGGGAUAUUGCACAAUGGGGGAAACCCUGAUGCAGCGACGCCGCGUGAGUGAAGAAGUAUUUCUGUAUGUAAAGCUCUAUCAGCAGGGAAGAAAAAAGACGGUACCUGACUAAGAAGCCCCGGCUAACUACGUGCCAGCAGCCGCGGUAAUACGUAGGGGGCAAGCGUUAUCCGGAUUUACUGGGUGUAACGGGAGCGUAGGCGGCAAUACAAGUCGGAAGUGAAAUACCCAGGCUCAACCUGGGAACUGCUUUGGAAACUGUAUGGCUGGAGUGCUGGAGAGGUAAGCGGAAUGCCUGGUGUAGCGGUGAAAUGCGUAGAUAUUAGGCGGAACACCAGUGGCGAAGGCAGCUUACUGGACAGUAACUGACGUUGAGGCUCGAAAGCGUGGGGAGCAAACAGGAUUAGAUACCCUAGUAGUC